rnacentral:rRNA from 1 species
CCCUUAGACGUUCUGGGCCGCACGCGCGCUACACUGACCAGUGCAACAAGCAUCCGUCCUUGGCCGACAGGCUCGGGCAAUCUUUGAACUCUGGUCGUGAUGGGGAUAGACUUUUGCAAUUUUUGGUCUUCAACGAGGAAUUCCUAGUAAACGCAAGUCAUCAACUUGCAUUGAUUACGUCCCUGCCCUUUGUACACACCGCCCGUCGCACCUACCGAUUGAAUGGUCCGGUGAAGCCUCCGGAUUGGCGCGCACCUCGGUGCCGCCGAGAAGUUGGCUAAACCUUACCAUUUAGAGGAAGGUGAANUCGUAACA